rnacentral:rRNA from 1 species
UACGUAGGGUCCGAGCGUUAAUCGGAAUUACUGGGCGUAAAGCGUGCGCAGGCGGUUUUGUAAGCCAGAUGUGAAAGCCCCGGGCUUAACCUGGGAAUGGCAUUUGGGACUGCAAGGCUGGAGUACGGCAGAGGGAGGUGGAAUUCCACGUGUAGCAGUGGAAAUGCGUAGAGAUGUGGAGGAACACCGAUGGCGAAGGCAGCCUCCUGGGCUAGUACUGACGCUCAUGCACGAAAGCGU